rnacentral:snoRNA from 1 species
CCUUUUCUUGGCGGGACUGGGCAUGUGGUCCCACUCCCCGUUAUGUACAGAGGCAGAGGGGAAGGGCUCCAGCCCCCUCAGGGUCAUGUUGUCAUUGCUGAUGGCUUCCCGUCUGCUGGUUCUAUCCUCACAUACCAGGACCCUG